rnacentral:ncRNA from 2 species
UGAAUAAUAUGAAAUUUAGGUGCUUUAAUUCCAUUGCCUUUAGGAUAGUGCAAGGUUAAGGAGAAUAGGGAAUGAAGUGAGAAUCUUCAACGGACCCACCACUGUAAUGGUAAGUCUUUAAACAUUAUGCCACUGUACAACACUCAAUUUUAAGAAUAUAGAUUUAGUGUAUUAUAGAAUUGAGUGCCCAAUGGGAAGGCGUUUAAAGGCGUUAGAUAAGCCAAAGUCAGGAGACCUGCCUAGAUGUCAGUAGUUCA